rnacentral:rRNA from 1 species
AACGAACGCUGGCGGCAGGCUUAACACAUGCAAGUCGAGCGCCCCGCAAGGGAGCGGCAGACGGGCGAGUAACGCGUGGGAACGUACCCUUUGCUACGGAAUAGCUCCGGGAAACUGGAAUUAAUACCGUAUGUGCCCUACGGGGGCAAGAUUUAUCGGCAAAGGAUCGGCCCGCGUUGGAUUAGCUAGUUGGUGGGGUAAUGGCCUACCAAGGCGACGAUCCAUAGCUGGUCUGAGAGGAUGAUCAGCCACAUUGGGACUGAGACACGGCCCAAACUCCUACGGGAGGCAGCAGUGGGGAAUAUUGGACAAUGGGCGCAAGCCUGAUCCAGCCAUGCCGCGUGAGUGAUGAAGGCCUUAGGGUUGUAAAGCUCUUUCACCGGAGAAGAUAAUGACGGUAUCCGGAGAAGAAGCCCCGGCUAACUUCGUGCCAGCCGCCGCCGUAACAC